rnacentral:misc_RNA from 1 species
GUAACAAGGUUUCCGUAGGUGAACCUGCGGAAGGAUCAUUAGUGAUUAAUUAUUGAGUGUAAAAAACUCAUAAUCUUCUAUACAAACCACUGUUUUAAAAUGUUUACUAGAAUGUCCAAGCAGUUAAGCUGUUGAAAUAUUAAAAGUUUAAUAAAACUUUCAGCAACGGAUCUCUUGGUUCAGGCAUCGAUGAAGAACGCAGCGAAAUGCGAUAAGUAAUGUGAAUUGCAGAUACAGUGAAUCAUCGAAUCUUUGAACGCAAAUGGCACUCUAUGGUAUUCCGUAGAGUACGUCUGUUUGAGCGUCGCGAACAUCUCCAUAAUUAGUUUUUUUUAAAUUGAUUGUGGGUUUUGAGGUUGUCAUAUAACAAUGACUCCCUUUAAAAUAAUUAGUGAUGACCUUAUGAAUGGGUUAAUACUGUGUGUUAUAAUGGAUUACAUCCAUCACCAGUCAGAGAGUAAUCUCGCCUUAGUAAUUUGUAGUGAUUGCUUCUAACUGCCAUUGGCAAACAAAUUGAUCAAAUCGACCUCAAAUCAGAUGGGAUUACCCGCUGAACCUAAGCAU